CUAUAGAAUCUUUCAGAUCUGAAAAAAAAAUAAAAAGAGAGAGUGAGCUUUACAAACUUAGUAAGUUACCAAUAUCUUUAAAAACUUAAGUAUAAUUAUUUUUUAAAAUAUAAUAAUUUAUUAAUAAUAUAUAAUAACAUAAUUUUUUUUCAAAAUAUACCAUGCACGUUAGUAAAAGUCAAAAAUUCUCUCUCAGUCUUCGUUAACUACAGCUAUGAUCAGUCCCAUGAUAAGGCCC
rnacentral:lncRNA from 1 species